CCUGAACGCUGGCGGCGUGGCUAAGACAUGCAAGUCGUACGGGGCCGGCAGCAAUGCCGGCCCAGUGGCGGACGGGUGAGUAACGGAUCGCUAACGCACCCCGGGCCCCGGGACAGCCGGCCGAAAGGCCGGGUAAUACCGGGCGAGACCACCAGGCGGGCAUCCGCCGGUGCUCAAAGGCGUAAGCCGGCCCGGGCGCGGGUGAUUUCGUAUCAGGUAGUUGGUGCGGGUAACGGCCCACCAAGCCGACGACGCGUAGCUGGUCUGAGAGGACGGCCAGCCACAUCGGGACUGAGACACUGCCCGGACUCCUACGGGGGGGCUGCAGUAACGAAUCUUCCGCAAUGCGCGCAAGCGUGACGGAGCGACGCCGCGUGGAGGUUAAGUCCUUCGGGAUGUAAACUCCUGUCAGGGGCUACCAAGUUCUGAGGAGCCCCAGAGGAAGGCACGGCUAACUCUGUG
rnacentral:rRNA from 1 species